rnacentral:rRNA from 1 species
UACAGAGGGUGCGAGCGUUAUUCGGAAUUACUGGGCGUAAAGCGCGCGUAGGUGGCUAUGCAAGUCGGAUGUGAAAUCCCCGGGCUCAACCUGGGAACUGCAUUCGAGACUGCAUUGCUCGAGUAUGGGAGAGGGAAGUGGAAUUUCCGGUGUAGCGGUGAAAUGCGUAGAUAUCGGAAGGAACAUCAGUGGCGAAAGCGACUUCCUGGACCAAUACUGACACUCAAGUGCGAAAGCGUGGGGAGCAAACAGG